GAAUUCGAUUCAGGCCUAACACAUGCAAGUCGAACGGCAGCACGGGUGCUUGCACCUGGUGGCGAGUGGCGAACGGGUGAGUAAUAUAUCGGAACGUACCUUAUUGUGGGGGAUAACGCAGCGAAAGCUGUGCUAAUACCGCAUAAUCCCUAAGGGGGAAAGCGGGGGACCGUAAGGCCUCGCGCAAUUAGAGCGGCCGAUACCUGAUUAGCUAGCUGGUGAGGUAAAGGCUCACCAAGGCAACGAUCAGUAGCUGGUCUGAGAGGACGAUCAGCCACACUGGGACUGAGACACGGCCCAGACUCCUACGGGAGGCAGCAGUGAGGAAUUUUGGACAAUGGGGGCAACCCUGAUCCAGCAGUGCCGCGUGAGUGAAGAAGGCCUUCGGGUUGUAAAGCUAUGGGUCAGGGAAGAAACAGCAGCUCUAACACAGUUUGCGAAUGAC
rnacentral:rRNA from 1 species